rnacentral:misc_RNA from 1 species
CAAAUCAACGGCUCUGAUCUCCCCUAUGCGAGAUGAAGAACCAAGCGACUAUGAAAUCAUCGAUGGAGACCCCGACUACAUCUCGGUUCUACCUGACGAGUGCUUGGCUUUCAUUUUUCAGUCCCUUAGCUCCGGCGAUCGUAAAAGGUGCUCUUUGGUAUGCCGCCGAUGGCUAAGAAUCGAGGGACAGAGCCGUCACCGGCUUUCUCUCAACGCUCAAUCGGAUCUCUUCCCUAUGGUACAUGCUCUCUUCUCACGCUUCGACGCUGUGACAAAACUUGCUCUCAAAUGUGACCGUAGAUCCGCGAGCAUCGGCGAUGAAGCCCUUCAAGCGAUCUCGUUCCGGUGCCGGAAUCUCACUCGCCUCAAGCUUCGUUCUUGCCGUGACGUUACCGACGCCGGCAUGGCAGCUUUUGCAAAGAAUUGUAAAGGUUUGAAGAAGCUCUCGUGUGGAUCAUGCACGUUUGGAGCAAAAGGUAUGAACGCAAUCCUCGAUAACUGUGCAUUUCUUGAAGAGUUAUCAGUAAAGCGGCUUCGCGGAAUCACCGA